AUUUCUGUGGAAAUAUCUCAUGAAAUAAUUCCGCUUUAUGUACUUUGAAGAGCGGACAAUACCUGAGCAGCCUGGGCCAGUCUCUCCAUUUUCUCUUGGAUGGAUCGAGAGGAGACUCGUUGUACGGAACUAUACACAAGUUCGAUUCUGGUCUCACAACGUUGACAUCGGUUUGGUGGUGGCAUUCAACAAAACCAGAGCAAAAUGCCUCCUCUUGCCAUCAUACCGUCGCUUCCCGAAGUGACUCACGAGGUGUGGCAACAGCGCUCGGGGUUUUCCACAGUGUAAUGAAAGACGUCCAUGGCGCACAAUCAAGCCUUUUUUUUCCUCCCCCUCUGACUUGGACACAACAGCACAGCUUAACACUCACACUGUUGUGUUGCUAACAUGCUUGAAUGAACCACAUCUGCUUCAUUGGAGCCAGCUGACGGGGAGAUUUUGCUCAAUUUCACAUGUUCAGGUUAAUCACGGGCUUCUCGUUUGACUUUUGUCAUUUAUUAUUCACGUGGUUGGCUACAAAAAAUGGAGCUCACGCAACAGUAUUAGUAAUGCUUUAUUUAUAACAUAUGACAUUUUUAUUAAAUAGAAAUAAUACCACAAGUAUGUGCACAAAUAUUUAUUCGUCAUGCUAAUCCUUGCACGGGAGAGCAAAGCUGUAAGACCUCAAGUGACUGAGAAGUUUGUGAAAUAUCAAGGCACACACGGUGAAAGAAUCCAAGCGCGACUGUCUUCAUAGCAAAAAUGUUAUCCC